AUGUCUACCGAAUGGGAAGGGGUAGAAGCCAAGAAGCCUCUCUUGGUGGCCCGGAACAGCAGCGUUUCUUCGAUUUGGGUGGUGGUCGCUAGCACCACGGUCGCCGUUGCUGGAUCCUUCGUGUUCGGCAUCUCGGUGGGCUACUCUUCGCCAUCUCAGAAGGGCAUCAUGCGGGAUCUUCAUCUUUCCUUAGCAGAGUAUUCUGUCUUUGGCUCGAUAUUAACCAUAGGAGCAAUGCUGGGCGCUAUUGUCAGCGGUACCAUAGCAGAUCGAGUUGGCCGAAGAUGUGCAAUGGCAAUAUCAGAUGUGUUCUGCAUUCUUGGAUAUCUCCUUAUAGCCUUUUCUAAGAACUCUGUGUGGCUUGACCUUGGGAGGCUCUCAAUUGGAUGUGGAAUUGGCCUUCUUUCCUAUGUGGUCCCAGUAUAUAUAUCAGAGAUAACACCCAAGAAUCUUAGAGGACGGUUCGCAGCCGUAAACCAGUUUAUGAUAUGUUGUGGGGCAUCGCUCGCGUAUGCUCUGGGGACAUGUAUCACCUGGCGUACCUUGGCAAUCGUAGGAGUGACACCAUGUUUACUGCAGCUGGCUGGCCUUCUUGUGAUUCCCGAAUCUCCCAGGUGGCUGGCUAAGAUCAGACACUCAGGUGCACUUGAGGAAGCGUUACAGAAGCUAAGGGGAAAAGAAACGGACAUCUCUGAAGAGGCAGCCGAUAUCAAAGAUUUCACGGAAAAGCUUCAGCAACUACCACAGUCAAAGAUGUUGGACCUAUUUCAGAAAGAUUAUAUUCAUGCUGUCACCGUUGGAGUUGGGCUAAUGGUCCUUCAACAGUUUGGUGGAGUGAAUGCAAUCUGCUUCUACGCCAGUGAGAUAUUUGUUUCGGCUGGUUUCUCGUCAGGGAACACUGGAAUGCUCGCUAUGGUUGCGGUUCAGAUUCCGAUGACGGCACUUGGGGUGCUUCUGUUGGACAAGGCUGGAAGGAGGCCACUUCUAAUGGUCUGUGCAGCUGGGACAUGCCUGGGUUGCCUACUAGUUGGCCUGUCAUUCUUGUCCAAGGAACAUCAUUGGGCGAAGGACCUCAAUGUGGCAUUGGCAUUGACGGGGAUUCUGAUCUUCCCCAUACACAUGAAAGGGUCAGCAGGAAGCCUGGUGACCUUGGUGAGCUGGCUCGGCUCAUGGAUCGUCUCGUAUGCCUUCAACUUCCUCCUGCUGUGGAGCUCCUACGGUACAUUUUUCAUGUUCGCGAGCAUUUGCGGUCUGACUGUUGUAUUUGUGGAGCGCCUGGUACCAGAGACUAAAGGAAGGACCCUGGAAGAGAUUCAAGCGUCCAUGAACUCGUCAUUGACGCCAGUUUCUAAUGGAAUUAACCGACCUGUCUAA
rnacentral:rRNA from 1 species